GACGAACGCUGGCGGUGGGCUUAACACAUGCAAGUCGAACGGCAAGGCCCUGCUUGUGUGGGGUGCUCGAGUGCCGAACGGGUGAGUAACACGUGAGUAACCUGCCCUUGUCUUUGGGAUAACUUCAGGAAACUGGGCCUACUACCGGAUAGGAGCUCCUGUUGCAUGGUGGGGGUGGGAAAGUUUCGGCGGGUGGGGAUGGACUCGCGGCUUAUCAGCUUGUUGGUGGGGUAGUGGCUUACCAAGGCAUUGACGGGUAGCCGGCCUGAGAGGGUGACCGGCCACAUUGCGACUGAGAUACGGCCCAGACUGCUACGGGAGGCAGCAGUGGGGAAUAUUGCACAAUGGGCGGAAGCCUGAUGCAGCAACGCCGCGUGCGGGAUGACGGCCCUCGGGUUGUAAACCGCUUUCGCCUGUGACGAAGCGUGAGUGACGGUAAUGGGUAAAGAAGCACCGGCUAACUACGUG
rnacentral:rRNA from 1 species